rnacentral:lncRNA from 1 species
UACAUUUAUAAACGUUAUUAACUCUUAUUAUAGCGAAAACGAAAUAAAGGGAGAGCAAAACACAUAUAAUACAUACAUAUAAUAAAAUGAACAAAUAAGAGAAUUAAAAAAAAAAAAGCAAUAAUUAAUUCGAAAACACAAACAAAGCAAACAAGCGAACGAACGUGUGAGCGAAAAUAAACUAAAUGAGUGAAUCAAUAUUUAAUAAUCAACCCAUUAAAAGGGCAUCAUUUCCAGGUAUUGAGGGAUAUUUUACUGUAACAAACAACCACAGUUCAUUAAUUACUUUAUUACGAAAUGGCAUAAUAACAGUUGAAUUUGAUGAAAAAGAAAAAAAAGAAUUCUUUAUUUCAGAUGGUGUAUUUAUUUAUAAAAAAAGUAAUGACAACAGUAACAGCAAUAAUGCUGAAGUCGUGGGUAUUGAAAUAGUACCCCUAGAAUAUUUGGACAAAAAUAAGACUGUUAAAGUUUUACAACAAUUAUGUGCAGUUAAUGAUACAACGGAUGAUAAAUGGAUAAAAAUAAAAACCAUGUUGGGGAAAGAGUUGUGUUCGUCAAUCCUUCGAGUUGCAUCAUAAAUAUAAAAAGAAGUAAGUCGUGUGUAAAAGUUUAUAUCAACUAGCUGAUGACAAAGAAAAAAAAAAAAAAACAUAACACCAUAUAAAUAAUAUAACAUAACACAAAUAAUACCAAUAAUACUAUAUAAAUAGAACUAUUUAUUAUAUUUUAUUAUAAGGACUUGAUUUGUGUAAGUUACAAGUUGUGUUUAUCUUAACUGUAAAUGUUGUCUUAAAAAAAAAAAGUGUCUUAAGAAAUUAUAUAAAACCACUCAUUCGAAAUGUAUAAAUAUAGAUGCACACCCAUGCGUGUAAAUUUAUUUAUUUAUGUACAUCUUUACAUAUUUUAUCACAACAAAACAUUUAUAAAAAUCGAAAACAUAAAUAAAUAAAUGAAUAAAUAAAUAAAUAAAUAAAUA